AUAGAUAAAUAUCACCCUGCAGCUCUUGCCUGGUUUCCAACUGAAGCUAAGCAGGGUUGAGUCUGGCCAGUACCUGGGUGGGAGAGCUUCUGGGGAAAACUAAGGUUUCUGCU
rnacentral:rRNA from 1 species